GUUGAUCCUGGCUAGGAUGAACGCUGGCGGCGUGCCUAACACAUGCAAGUCGAACGGAGUUACUUAAGCUUGCUUUGUAACUUAGUGGCGGACGGGUGAGUAAUGUAUGAGCAACCUGCCUUUCAGAGGGGGACAACAGUUGGAAACGACUGCUAAUACCGCAUAACGUGCGAAGGGGGCAUCCCUUUUGUACCAAAGGAGCAAUCCGCUGAAAGAUGGGCUCAUAUCUGAUUAGUUAGUUGGCAGGGUAACGGCCUACCAAGACUGCGAUCAGUAGCCGGACUGAGAGGUUGAACGGCCACAUUGGGACUGAGAUACGGCCCAGACUCCUACGGGGAGGCAGCAGGUGGGGAAUAUUGGGCAAUGGGCGAAAGCCUGAACCCCAGCAACGCCGCGUGAAGGAAGAAGGUCUUCGGAUUGUAAACUUCUUUUAUGAGGGACGAAGGACGUGACGGUACCUCAUGAAUAAGCCACGGCUAACUACGUGCCAGCCGCUGC
rnacentral:rRNA from 1 species